GCUGGGCAUGGUGGCUCACGCCUGUAAUCCCAGCACUUUGGGAGGCUGAGGUGGGUGGAUCACUUGAGGUCAGGAGUUCAAGACUUGCCUGACUAACACGGUGAAACCCCAUCUCUA
rnacentral:SRP_RNA from 1 species